rnacentral:snoRNA from 1 species
GACCUCCUGGGAUUGUGUCUGGAGAGUGGCUAGUAUUCUACCAGCUUCAGACAAAGGAGGUCUGAAGCCUAGUAGAGGUACCCAUUCCAUUCCCGGUUUGUUUGGUUGCUGGCAAUUAGAAGACACUCUGCAACGAGU